GAGCUUGAACUCCCGGCUCGGCGUCUCUUCCCUCCACCGUGGCAGAGUGCCCAGAGCCCGAGGGGAGGGCGGCACGAGGCCCGGCCGCGCCCAUGGCCAAACUGCCGCCGCGGGCUGCACUGACCCCGCCGGCUAAGCCCCGUCCGCCCUCCGGACCGCGCGCCAGGUAGCUAUAGUGUCCACUGCCUCAAAUGGGGACCCCAGGAACAGCUGUUCCCUGCACUACAUCUACCCCUAGCAGCCCAGCGAGUACCUGAAGGCCUUGGUGGCCGUGGGGGAGAUUUGCCAGGACUAUGACAGGCCCUUACUGGGGAAACUGAAUUCUCACCUCUUGAACCAUUCUAUGAUCGAUGCUGUCCCCAAUGUUUCUCAGCUGCCUGGCCAA